UAUUGGGCAAUGGACGAGAGUCUGAACCAGCCAAGGAGCGUGAAGGAGGAGAGCGCUAUGGGUUGUAAACUUCUUUUAUAUGGGAAUAAAGUUUUCCACGUGUGGAAUUUUGUAUGUACCAUAUGAAUAAGGAUCGGCUAACUCCGUGCCAGCAGCCGCGGUAAUACGGAGGAUCCGAGCGUUAUCCGGAUUUAUUGGGUUUAGAGGGAGCGUAGGUGGACAGUUAAGUCAGUUGUGAAAGUUUGCGGCUCAACCGUAAAAUUGCAGUUGAUACUGGCUGUCUUGAGUACAGUAGAGGUGGGCGGAAUUCGUGGUGUAGCGGUGAAAUGCUUAGAUAUCACGAAGAACUCCGAUUGCGAAGGCAGCUCACUGGACUGCAACUGACACUGAUGCUCGAAAGUGUGGGUACCAAACAGG
rnacentral:rRNA from 1 species